GACGAACGCUGGCGGCGUGCCUAAUACAUGCAAGUAGAACGCUGAGGACUGGUGCUUGCACUGGUCUAAGGAGUUGCGAACGGGUGAGUAACGCGUAGGUAACCUACCUCAUAGCGGGGGAUAACAUUUGGAAACAGAUGCUAAUACCGCAUAACAACAAAAGCCACAUGGCUUUUGUUUGAAAGAUGGCUUUGGCUAUCACUCUGGGAUGGACCUGCGGUGCAUUAGCUAGUUGGUAAGGUAACGGCUUACCAAGGCGAUGAUGCAUAGCCGAGUUGAGAGACUGAUCGGCCACAAUGGAACUGAGACACGGUCCAU
rnacentral:rRNA from 1 species